rfam:Bombyx mori DNA, contig: Bm_scaf2_contig2314, strain: p50T/Dazao, build 2, whole genome shotgun sequence.
UUAACGCAAAUUUGUAUGCAAUUGGAAAGUAUGCCUACGUUUGCCGCUAGGGGCGCUGUUUCAACUGCAUACAAAUUCGAGUUA